rnacentral:rRNA from 1 species
GACGAACGCUGGCGGCGUGCUUAACACAUGCAAGUCGAACGGAAAGGCCCUGCUUUUGUGGGGUGCUCGAGUGGCGAACGGGUGAGUAACACGUGAGUAACCUGCCCUUGACUUUGGGAUAACUUCAGGAAACUGGGGCUAAUACCGGAUAGGAGCUCCUGCUGCAUGGUGGGGGUUGGAAAGUUUCGGCGGUUGGGGAUGGACUCGCGGCUUAUCAGCUUGUUGGUGGGGUAGUGGCUUACCAAGGCUUUGACGGGUAGCCGGCCUGAGAGGGUGACCGGCCACAUUGGGACUGAGGUACGGCCCAGACUCAUACGGGAGGCAGCAGUGGGGAAUAUUGCACAAUGGGCGGAAGCCGGAUGCAGCAACGCCGCGUGCGGGAUGACGGCCUUCGGGUUGUAAACCGCUUUCGCCUGUGACGAAGCGUGAGUGACGGUAAUGGGGAAAGAAGCACCGGCUAACUACGU